rnacentral:sRNA from 1 species
GCCGGGCACAGUGGUGCAUGCCUGUAAUCCUAGUGGCUUUGGGAGGCUGAGGCAGGAAAAUCAAAGCCAGCCUCAG